GACGAACGCUGGCGGCGUGCUUAACACAUGCAAGUCGAGUGCGCGUCCCGGUCGCAAGACCGGGAUGGCGCACGGCGCACGGGUGCGUAACACGUGGGCAAUCUGCCCUUCGAUGGGGAAUAACUCCGGGAAACCGAAGCUAAUUCCGCAUAACAUUCCGAGGACCCCGGUCCUUUGGUAUUCAAAGACCGUAAGGCGUCGAAGGAGGAGCCCGCGCACGAUUAGCUAGUUGGUGAGGUAACGGCNCACCAAGGCUAUGAUCGUUAGCUGGUCUGAGAGGAUGGCCAGCCACACUGGAACUGAGACACGGUCCAGACUCCUACGGGAGGCAGCAGUGGGGAA
rnacentral:rRNA from 1 species